CGGCGAUAGACCCCGCACGCGGCACCGCCGGAGAGCGGCACCCUCCCCGGCCUUCAUUAGCGACCGCUUUAAAUGCUCUGCGUUGGGAAAUACGUUAAGCGGUUGGCGUAUCACGCCCGCUAAUUCCGUUUGGACGCGUACGCGAUACCGGGCGCUAAACGUAGCAGGCGGUAUGAACUAGCAGCUCUGCGCCUACGCAGUCCGAGGGCAGGGUCCCCCCGAGCGGAUGUCGAAGACCUCCCGAGCCCCGUUCGGCUGCCAGCGCGGUCGCUGCAGCCGCCCCGGGAGGGAGCGAGGCCGGGGCCGCCCCCUCAGCGCAGCGACCGCAGCGCGCUUUCUUGGGAAGCGCGGUAAUGGCAUCUGAACGCCGAAGUCUAAGUGAGUUUCGGUCAACGCCGCACGGUUGACACCGUGUACGCUGAGCAAAAUAGUCCAGACCAGGCAGCGUUUGCCACUUCACGGUAGAAGAUAACAGAAGGUGUCGUUCAGUACAGAACACGCUUUUAAGCUUGUCAAAACUCCCAUUUUCAGCAAUGUCAAGACUAUUGAAUUUUGGAGCAAACUGUCAUUGAGGGAGCCGCAUCGUGGGUGAGGAGGCCUUUCCACCCAUGGCUCAGCUCGACAGUAAUUUUCUCCUUCAGCAAGGAUGAGCUGAGAAUUAGUUUCCAACGCAGUAUCUUAAGACAACAAGGACGGGUUUGUGCUGCUCUACUGUUCUCAUCACCUAUACAUCCUUUAGAAGUCAUGGUAAUUCUUAGCACUACUGGCACUUUGCAAAACAUUAAUACAGCAAAGCUCCCAUUGCAAAAUUGAGCCCUAAUCCUAUUAUUAUCCAAAUAAGCAAAUAUUCCUGUAUAGGUGUGGAGACCAUGCAGAGAUACAGAGAAAUGCAGAGGAGCUUCACAAUGUUUCAACAAAAUUUUACUAGUUUAAUCUGCUUUCUUAUUGGGGGCAAGGGAGGUGGGGUGGGUGGUCAAUUGUUUUAUAGCACUGUUUGACUUCAUUAACCAUCAGGCUGUUUGUCCCCAAAUUGUCAAUGAAUGCCGAGUUCUUACAUCUACCCAAGAGGUCUGUUAAGAGAGUUCAGAUGCAAUUUUAGCCACUCUUGAAAUGCCGAUUUGCAACCUGGAAUAAUCCAUUGCCACUUACACUUAAUUUUGAGCUCCACCUAUUUGGACAAGUCUUACUCGUACAGUUCUGCUGCACAUACCAUACAUCAGUAAAUGGCUGGGUCCUGGGAAGUGCUGAGCACCCCCAAAGACUAGGCCUCAAAACUUCUACGUUAUCUAUAUAUGAGACCUCUAGCAAGCAAAUCAAAGGUUGCUAUAUAAUAAGCAUUUAGUCUGCAUUAAAUAUUUUCGUGAACAGCCUUAUAAAACCUGCAGAAACAAGUAAAAUACAAGUUCAGACUGCUUGUUGGCAGCCUAAGCUCACUUACACAAUUUUUUAUUUAUUUUUAGUGUUUGAAAAGUUGCACAUGUUGGAGCAUGACAUACUCCUCUCUUAUCACUCUCAGUCUAUAUGUAGGAUGUAAAAUCUUCGCAAGAGAGAUGUGGAGGUGGGGGAAGUCCCUUCAACAAAGAAGAAAAUUAAUAUUCUACAGCACUAAAUGCAACGGUGGCAAAUGUUUCACUGAAAAACAUCACGACAAAGCUGCUGCAUAGAGACCCAACAACUUCAGGUAGCAAAGAACUGACACUGUCAAAUAUGAAGGUGAUAAUGAGCUGAAGGACAUCAGCAAACGUAGUACAUCAGAGCCAGUGCCCCCAAUGUUAUCACAUGGAAAUUGCCUAAAAGCAAGGACAAUCCAGGCCCUGCUAUAUCGCAGGGCCAAGAACCUUUUGUACGAAACAGGUUGCUUACACUCGCCACAUGUGAGCUGUGCAUCUGUGGAGCUAUCUGAAGUAUAUCAGACAGACAACAAAAUUCCACACUCAGUGCUGUUGAAAGCCAUGGACAAAAAGAAACAAUCAAAGGCAAGUUAUACUUUUAGCAGAGAUCAUAAACUUCUGUAUCCACAUAUGAAUUUGCUAUUCAGGUCUUUCAAUUUUGCUGUUGCCUUAAGGAUUAAUUUUAUCUCGAGGACUGGGAGCUCCAUCUGCACCAAAAAUCUUUUUUCUGAGGUAUUUACAGCCUGGAAUGGUAGGGUGUCCACCAUAGCAAUAUAGGUCUGCAGGAGGUUUCAAAGCUCAUACUGAAAAAUGCAUGCUUUUCUGAACUAGCCAAAAUGUACCUAAAAAAUUCAACUUGCAUAGGGUGUAACAGACCAAAAUUACUAUAAAAGAAACGUCAUGUGCUUGCA